CGCCUCCUGAACCCAACCAUAUAGGAGGUCCCGCCUGCCCUGUGACCAAAAGUUUAACGGCCGCGGUAUUUUAACCGUGCAAAGGUAGCGCAAUCAAUUGUCUUUUAAAUGGAGACCUGUAUGAAUGGCAUAACGAGGGUUUAACUGUCUCUUUUUUCCAGUCAAUGAAACUGAUCUGCCCGUGCAGAAGCGGACAUACUUACACAAGACGAGAAGACCCUAUGGAGCUUUAGACGCCCACCAACUAUGAAAAGUAACCAUGUCAACGGAACUCCAAACAACAUACCCCUGGUACAAACGUCUUCGGUUGGGGCGACCACGGGGGAAAACGAAGCCCCCGAGAGGAUAGGGGAACACCCUAAAACCAAGAACUACAAUUCUAAGUCACAAAAUGUUUGACCAAUUAAUGAUCCGGCUUACGCCGAUCAACGGACCAAGUUACCCUAGGGAUAACAGCGCAAUCCCCUCCCAGAGUCCAUAUCGACGAGGGGGUUUACGACCUCGAUGUUGGAUCAGGACAUCCUAAUGGUGCAGCCGCUAUUAAGGGUUCGUUUGUUCAACGAUUAAAGUCCU
rnacentral:rRNA from 1 species